GACGAACGCUGGCGGCGUGCUUAACACAUGCAAGUCGAACGAUGAAGUUCCUUCGGGAAUGGAUUAGUGGCGAACGGGUGAGGAACACGUGAGAAACCUGCCCAUCAUUCUGGGAUAACACCGGGAAACCGGUGCUAAUACCGGAUACUCCAUCGCGGCGGCAUCGCUGCGCUGGGACAGAAUUUCGAUGAUGGAUGGUCUCGCGGCCUAUCAGCUUGUUGGUGAGGUAAUGGCUCACCAAGGCGACGACGGGUAGCCGGCCUGGGAGUGCGAACGGCCACACUGGGACUGAGACACGGCCCAGAAUCCUACGGGAGGCGGCAGUGGGGAAUAUUGGGCAAUGGACGCAAGUCUGACCCAGCGACGCCGCGUGAGGGAUGAAGGCCUUCGGGUUGUAAACCUCUUUCAGUGGGGAAGAAGCGAAAGUGACGGUACCCAAAGAAGAAGCACCGGCUAACUAUGUGCCAGCCGCCGCCGUAA
rnacentral:rRNA from 1 species